rnacentral:tRNA from 1 species
GCCCCGGUCGUCUAGUCCGGUCAAGGAUAUGGGCCUCUCGGGGCGCCGAAGGCCGCGCCGGAGGGAGCCCAAGACCCGGGUUCAAAUCCCGGCCGGGGCA